CAUUAAUUUGACAGAGUUCCUGAUAAAAAUGACCAUUUGCUGGUUGUGAUUGUGAUGGGGCAUCGUCCCCCCACUGGCCCAUAAAGGGUUAAUAGAGCCCUAGGGAGUCUGCGCAGGAGACAACCAAUUAGAGAGGGGCUGCGAGGAGCAGCCAAUCAGGGCUGGGCUGGCCCAUAUAAGAAGGGCUGCAGAGCAGAGGGAUUUCAGUCAUUCUCUGGAGCUUGAGGAGGACUUGCUGCCUUGCAGGCUGAUGGUACCUAUGACUCAGUUCUAGGAUCACUGUGAUGCACAAAACAGCUUCUGAACCAAGAAGAAUAGAGGUGAACUAGGAUCUGCCACCUCUCAGGAGAGAAGAGGACAAUCUGGCCCCUUGAUAACAAGUGGAUAGAUCUCACUCAGGUUGCCCUUGAUAGCAGUCUUUCAACUUUGGCCGUUGCAAGCUGUUGAUAGCUGAAAUGGGUGUGCAGAAGAGGCUUAGGGAAGAAACAAUUCUGCAACCUGGAUAUUGCAUAUUUGGAUUGGCAGCAGCUCAUAAAUGGCUAACAGCUUGAUGUAAAGUUAAUUUUGCACUUGUUGUUUCCAAGCAGAUGUUUAAAGUCCACAGUUGAAUUUGCUGAGGAAGGUCAUUAAUGUUUAAUUUUCUAUUAGGAAAUGUCCUUUAUUGACAUAUUUCACUGAGAAAAGCAGGAAGUAGGGUUU